rnacentral:rRNA from 1 species
AUACGGAGGAUCCGAGCGUUAUCCGGAUUUAUUGGGUUUAAAGGGUGCGCAGGCGGCCAUUUAAGUCAGCGGUUAAAUCGUGGGGCUCAACCCCAUUCUGCCGUUGAUACUGGGUGGCUUGAUUGCGGUCGAGGUUGGCGGAAUUCGUUGUGUAGCGGUGAAAUGCAUAGAUAUGACGAAGAACACCGAUUGCGUAGGCAGCUGACCAGAUCGCAAAUGACGCUCAUGCACGAAAGUGCGGGGAUCGAACAGGAUUAGAUACCCUGGUAGUCCGCACAGUAAACGAUGAAUACUUGUUUUCGGCGAUAUAAUGUCGGAGGCAAAGCGAAAGAGAUAAGUAUUCCACCUGGGGAGUACGCCGGCAACGGUGAAAAUCAAAGGAAUUGGCGGGGG